rnacentral:lncRNA from 1 species
UGUACAGUAUAUGAUCAAUGACCACGCCCCUUCCCUCCUUUGUGCGUUGAAGAUAGCACAAGAUGUUUUCUACCUCUCAACAUCAUCAGGAGUGCCAAAGGACUUGUUCAAUAUUUGAAGGAUUUCCUUCAGCUGAGCAUCCUCAAAUUUAUAGCUGAACUCAUCGUUCAUAGCUGCCCUCAUAAUGCAAUGCAUAGUAAC